rnacentral:tRNA from 1 species
ACCUGGGUGGCUCAGUCGGUUGAGCAUCUGACUUUGACUCAGGUCAUGAUGUUGCAGUUCGUGAGUUCGAGUCCCACAUCAAGCU